AAAAAGGCAAACAACAGAGAGUGACAGCGACGAAUCGGAAGUAAAAGGAACAAAAAAAAGUGCGCUAACAAAGUCGAAACAAAAGAAAUGUACUUUAAACGAGAAAAAGGGGAAAGAACUUUUAAAACAGUACAAACAUAACAAGCAGAAAUACUCGUCACAGAGUAAAUCUGUGGAUGACGAAUGUGAUACAGAUAACGAAAAAUCUCCCGUUCAAUUAAAGUCACAACUAACAAUCAUUGAAUUAAAUGAAGAAAACAAGAAGUUGCAAAGAGACAACAAAAGACUACGCACGUUACGAUCUGUCAACGAAGGUAUUCUUGUUGAA